UACGUAGGGGGCUAGCGUUGUCCGGAUUUAUUGGGCGUAAAGAGCGUGUAGGCGGCCAGGUAGGUCUGCUGUGAAAACUCGAGGCUUAACCUCGAGAUGUCGGCGGAAACCAUCUGGCUAGAGUCCGGAAGAGGAGAGUGGAAUUCCUGGUGUAGUGGUGAAAUGCGUAGAGAUCGGGAGGAACACCUGUGGCGAAGGCGGCCGACUGGGCCGACCCUGACGCUGAGGCGCGAAGGCGUGGGGAGCGAACGGG
rnacentral:rRNA from 1 species